AAUAUUGCACAAUGGGGGAAACCCUGAUGCAGCGACCCCGCGUGAGCGAAGAAGGCCUUCGGGUCGUAAAGCUCUGUCUGAAGGGAAGAAACGGACGGUACCUGAGGAGGAUGCCCGGGCGAACUACGUGCCAGCAGCCGCGGUAAUACGUAGGGGGCGAGCGUUAUGCGGAAUUAUUGGUCGUAAAGGGUGCGUAGGCUGCCUGUUAAGUAAUAUGUGAAAGGCUACGGCUUACCCGUAGUUAGCAUUUGAAACUAAAAGGCUUGAGUGCAGGAGAGGAGAGUGAAAUUCCUAGUGUAGCGGUGAAAUGCGUAGAUAUUGGGAGGAACACCAGUGGCGAAGGCGACUCUCUGGACUGCAACUGACGUUGAGGCACGAAAGCGUGGGGAGCGAACA
rnacentral:rRNA from 1 species